UACGUAGGGUGCAAGCGUUAUCCGGAAUUAUUGGGCGUAAAGAGCUCGUAGGCGGUUUGUCGCGUCUGCUGUGAAAACUGGAGGCUCAACCUCCAGCCUGCAGUGGGUACGGGCAGACUAGAGUGCGGUAGGGGAGAUUGGAAUUCCUGGUGUAGCGGUGGAAUGCGCAGAUAUCGGGAGGAACACCAAUGGCGAAGGCAGAUCUCUGGGCCGUAACUGACGCUGAGGAGCGAAAGCAUGGGGAGCGAACAGG
rnacentral:rRNA from 1 species